UACGGAGGGUGCAAGCGUUGUCCGGAAUCACUGGGCGUAAAGGGUGCGUAGGCGGCGCGGAAAGUCAAGGGGUGAAAUCCCGGAGCUCAACUCCGGAACUGCCCUUGAUACUCCCGCGCUUGAGAACUGGAGGGGACAUCGGAAUUCACGGUGGAGCAGUGAAAUGCGUGGAUAUCGUGAGGAACACUAGUGGCGAAGGCGGAUGUCUGGACAGUAUCUGACGCUGAGGCACGAAGGCCAGGGGAGCGAACGGG
rnacentral:rRNA from 1 species